GACGAACGCUGGCGGCGUGCUUAACACAUGCAAGUCGAACGGAAAGGCCCUGCUUUUGUGGGGUGCUCGAGUGGCGAACGGGUGAGUAACACGUGAGUAACCUGCCCUUGACUUUGGGAUAACUUCAGGAAACUGGGGCUAAUACCGGAUAGGAGCUCCUGCUGCAUGGUGGGGGUUGGAAAGUUUCGGCGGUUGGGGAUGGACUCGCGGCUUAUCAGCUUGUUGGUGGGGUAGUGGCUUACCAAGGCUUUGACGGGUAGCCGGCCUGAGAGGGUGACCGGCCACAAUGGGACUGGGGUACCGGCCAGGAUCCUACGGGAGGCAGCAGUGGGGAAUAUUGCACAAUGGGCGGAAGCCUGAUGCAGCAACGCCGCGUGCGGGAUGACGGCCUUCGGGUUGUAAACCGCUUUCGCCUGUGACGAAGCGUGAGUGACGGUAAUGGGUAAAGAAGCACCGGCUAACUACGUG
rnacentral:rRNA from 1 species